GGAAAGAUUGUUCUUGCUUCUCACCAAGAGAAAGCUGUGUCAAGUCUGCAUUUUAGAUCACAAAAAAAAACCCUGAACAACCUCUGAGGUCUGGCUGCUGUAGUAACCCGACUCGAUGCACUUUCACCUGGAGCCAGGCUUCGCUCAGCUCCAUUGUCUCAAAACCAAGAUGAUAGUGUAAAGAGUUUCUUCCAGAACCUGCUUAGGUUCUCUUGGGACUGUAAGGCCCAUCCCAGGGUUUCCACCCAGGCCACUACAUUCCGUGUUGGCUGUUAUCUAAUUCCAUUUUAAGACCUCUGAUUUCAUUAUUCUCUGUUAAAGGAAUUGUCUCUUUUAUCUAAGAGUGUUAAAUGGUAAUCUUUGAAAAUCAGAAACAGCCAAAAGUGUUACAGAUUGCUCUGAGCACUGGGUAGGGGCAUGAGAUUGAUAGUAGGCCUUUUCCUCCCUCCGUUUCCAUUCGUCUUGUGGCUGUUUGCUAACCUGAUUUUUUGAAAAGCUGAGACAACUGUGAGAUAGGCAUCAAGGACACAGGAACCAAAGCUGUAGCACAGUACCAUCUCUGGGAACACGUCAGUUCUCAAAACCAAGCCACAGGUCCAGCAAAGUAACCAUGUUGCUUGUUGCUACCAUGUUCUUAGGGAGCAUUUCUCAUUAGUGAAGGGCUGCAGGAAGGACAAUUUCCUGAACAAAACCCAGCUGUGAUCUGUUUGGAAUGCAGUUCUCUGAUAGGAUCUGAAGUCAUGCAGAGCAUGACACUGCAAUCAGAAACCUUUCAUCACUGAUUUAGAUUCUGCCAGUAGAUGGACCCCAGGCCCCCCAAGCCUAAAACAGAUCAGAAUUCAUCUCUGUAAGCAGGACUGCUUUUACUCUGAUAUAGAACUGCCCCAUCCUCCUAGACUAGGAUAGGCACUGGUCAUUUCUCCCUACCUGACCAUCCACCUGUCUUUAUCUUCAUCUCUCCCAUCUGGAAGAAGCUUAUAGCUGUGGGGUCAGCCUAUAGCUGGGAGCAGCAGCCUCUCCAGUCCCCUUGUGGCCUGGACACAGCUCUGUUGGUCUCUGCAUCACAUUGUAUCUUACCUGAACCACCUCUGAGGGAGCUCCUACAGUCCAUUAAUAAAGUGCUCCCGCCUGUUUGGAAAGCCACCCUUACCACCUUACCUGCCCAAGUGGGUUAGAAUGCCAUGCAGACCUAAAAAUACACCACAGCUGCCACUAUUACCCAUGGUCCCUCAUUUUCCCAGGAAAAUUAAGAGAGUUAGCGUCUCUACCCCCACCUGAAAUAGCAGUGUCAAACCACAAUUAUUUCCUAUCCAUUAUAAGAGAGAGUGCAUGCCACUACUGGAGCAAGUGGUUUUUGACUUAAGAACACCAAUGGGAGCUUCCUGAGGCAGGAGACAAGCAUCUUCCCUGGAUGCAGACUGCCUGCCCUGCUUUGCUACUUCACUGCCAUGGUUGAUCUUAGUACUGUAUUUUAAAUGUGCCCCUCCCUUCCCAACAAUGAACAUUUGCCUGGCUUCAGGAUGGAAGACAAAUCUUAAAUGAAACUGGCAAAUUCUUAUCACUCAAUUCACAUCACCCUUAAGUAGAGACAGGUGACAAACUUCAGCUUGUAGGUUUCUCACCCAAACAUGUUCCUUUGCCCAAAAUUCUUGCACUGGUGGGUUUCCAUCACAUCAUGUCUAUAAAUGGGUGCACUUUACUGUUUGAAUUUGUAACUCUGAUAAAUACUGGAUAUUUAAGUGUGAGUAAUGUCUUCAUUAGAAAUUAGAGUCACUCUUGUCUCUAGUGUGUUUUUUCAAGAAAAAAAGAUACAAGGAAAGAAAUCAAGCAGUGGGCCACAGCAUUUAUAGCACAGAAAUAACGUUGUAUAUAAGCCUCAAAGAGUAAGGAUUUUUAAACACAAGAAAACAUUUGCAGUGAUUUUAAAGUGCUUUUCCAGCAAUUUUCUUAGGGACUCCUGAGACAUGGUUCAUUUAUUUACUGGAUCAGUAAGGCACACAAGUAACAAUUAAAAUUAUUGUUUAUUUACAAAGUAAAGGGAAAACCUCUGUAACAUGAGAAUUCGGCAUGGACAAAUGGAGAUCAUUUUGUAUCUGCUGUUGUGUCUGUCCAGGUUGCAGUCGUGCACUAUUAGUCCCGAGUUAAUAGAGCACAACCCCCUCUCGUUCCAGGUGCCCCUUUCUAGAUGUGUUUAACUUAAACUUGAUGGCUCAGGAAAAUUCCACUCAUUAGAAUUGUGUACAGUAUCCCAGGUUGUUGCCCAGAUAUCCAAGUUUGCUGAUUUUAGUUAAGCCUGGAUUAUCACUUUUCCUAAAUUAUUAUAAACAGAACAGCUUAGAGAAAGGUGUUCUCCUCCCUUAUAUUGUAUAGUAGUUUAUGAUUCCCUCUAAAUAUUGGUAUUUUUAUAUUUCAGAGAUAUACCCAAUAGAAAAAUUUUAAACCAGUAUCUAAUUUAAUAUCCAUAAGUAUUUUUCCUUAGAGUUUAGUCAUAUGCAGUGGGAUAUGUGGAUGUCACUUGUGCUUCACCGUACUCUACCACUAGGUGUCACUGUGACCCUGCAUCAUACUUACCUGGUUACAAAGAAUGGCUUCGUGGAGCUGCUGCCAGUGCAGCUGGCAAGGGGGCCCUACAGACUAGAGGUUCAGGAAGAAGGGAACACAAGCCUGAGGGGGCUUCCUGCAGCCAUGCCCCUGUAGCAAGGCAGACUCUGGACACCACGUUUGCGAGGUUACAUUGCGCUCCCUUUCUCCCCGUUAGAAACCGUUCCUCUCAGUUCACUCAGCCUCCGGCUUUUAUAACUCCAGAAGAAUCACAGUUGGGUGGUUGAUUAAAGAUGGUUAUUUUUCUACUGCAGAAAUGCCUUGGACAAAACCAGUUGCUCACUGAAUCUUUGCCACACAAUGGAACAGGCUCCCCAGGUGGCAGGAUAUGCUGCCUCUGUGCCCAUCUCUUGUUGAGGCUCUGAGCGCUCAGCAGCCCCACCCACCCUACCUGUCUGCCCUCAGGCUGCCCAGUUCUCAAGAAGGGGUCUGCUACCGCCUUUACUCUGAGGGCCAUACUGCCCUGCCUCGUGCUUGUUGAGAGGUGUGACUUCUCCUUUUCCUCUGGGAAUUCCAGACUGACCAUCUACCAUGACUAACAAUGAACAAAGGGCUUAGGGUAAGAGCUACCUACAAAGACGCGUCAUGGAAACCUUCACCAUGCAAUGCCUUGAACUCAGCUCUGGCUGCUCCCAAGAAAAGGCAGCUGGCUAGGGGCCUGGACACAAGCACAACGGGGCUGGUGGAGCCACUGUGCAGAGCUACUUGAAUAUUCACUGGGUCUUCAUCAACUCUUUUUGUAAUACAGACCACUCAAGGGCUGAAGUGUUGGUAACCUUCAUUUCGGUGUCCAAUGCCUCACAGCAGCUGAGCCACCCUGAGAUGCUUGUGGCCACGUGAUGGCCACAGUCAGAGCUUUGAAAGUCAGUACCAAAUGAACGUAUAAUUGGACACC
rnacentral:lncRNA from 1 species